rnacentral:rRNA from 2 species
UCUGGUGGCGAUAGCGAAGAGGUCACACCCGUUCCCAUACCGAACACGGAAGUUAAGCUCUUCAGCGCCGAUGGUAGUCGGGGGUUUCCCCCUGUGAGAGUAGGACGCCGCCAAGC